rnacentral:rRNA from 1 species
CACUGGGUAUGAGCCAAAUUAAUGCAAGUCGAGCGGACAGAAGGGAGCUUGCUCCCGGAUGUUAGCGGCGGACGGGUGAGUAACACGUGGGUAACCUGCCUGUAAGACUGGGAUAACUCCGGGAAACCGGAGCUAAUACCGGAUAGUUCCUUGAACCGCAUGGUUCAAGGAUGAAAGACGGUUUCGGCUGUCACUUACAGAUGGACCCGCGGCGCAUUAGCUAGUUGGUGAGGUAACGGCUCACCAAGGCGACGAUGCGUAGCCGACCUGAGAGGGUGAUCGGCCACACUGGGACUGAGACACGGCCCAGACUCCUACGGGAGGCAGCAGUAGGGAAUCUUCCGCAAUGGACGAAAGUCUGACGGAGCAACGCCGCGUGAGUGAUGAAGGUUUUCGGAUCGUAAAGCUCUGUUGUUAGGGAAGAACAAGUGCAAGAGUAACUGCUUGCACCUUGACGGUACCUAACCAGAAAGCCACGGCUAACUACGAGCCAGCAGCCGCGGAAAUACGUAGGUGGCAAGCGUUGUCCGGAAUUAUUGGGCGUAAAGGGCUCGCAGGCGGUUUCUUAAGUCUGAUGUGAAAGCCCCCGGCUCAACCGGGGAGGGUCAUUGGAAACUGGGAAACUUGAGUGCAGAAAAGGAGAGUGGAAUUCCACGUGUAGCGGUGAAAUGCGUAGAGAUGUGGAGGAACACCAGUGGCGAAGGCGACUCUCUGGUCUGUAACUGACGCUGAGGAGCGAAAGCGUGAGGAGCGAACAGGAUUAGAUACCCUGGUAGUCCACGCCGUAAACGAUGAGUGCUAAGUGUUAGGGGGUUUCCGCCCCUUAGUGCUGCAGCUAACGCAUUAAGCACUCCGCCUGGGGAGUACGGUCGCAAGACUGAAACUCAAAGGAAUUGACAGGGGCCCGCACAAGCGGUGGAGCAUGUGGUUUAAUUAGAAGCAAGCGAAGA